UGAUAAGGAAAGUUGUGAGAAACUGGAAGACAAAAUUGUGGUUAGACAAGAUAUCAAUGAGUGUGAUGGCAAUGACCACGGCUGUGACAUGGAGAAUGGCGGCUGUCAGGACACCCUUACCUCCUACUACU